UUUCUUGACCAAAAUCAGGCAAGGGUCUUUUAGCCUGGUGGGCCUAGGACAUGAGUCUGGCCAUCUUAUUGUUUUUGCUCGCAAUAGCUACCUACGUGACGCAGACCAAAGUGUUCUGCAAGGAGAAUGUUUUAUUUUUUACCCUCUUUCCUAUCACUGAUUUUUGUCUCAAGUCCCAUGAAGUGCUGGUUCAAUCUCAGUUCAGUCUCGCCCCACUUCCUUUGGUUCAGCAGAGUGCUUUUGCUCUGCAGAUGUGUCAAGAAGUGCAUACCAAUGCCUCUCUUUGCUUCUUUGUUCAUCCUUCCUGAUGAAGGCAAUGGUCAUGCUUUUUAAUGCCUUGAAAAACUUCUAAAACACCAUACUGACGUAAAAUAAAACCAACAAGCACCAGAGAUGUGCCGCAUGAAUCAUUUUCUUGUUGUUGUUGAUAGGGCUGAUUGAAGGAUGACUGAAUAGUUGGAGGAACUUCUGUAGACACUAUGUCAUGCUUGACAGCAGAAGAUUUCUUUUGAGAACACAGCAUUUUAAUGUGUACACAAAACCUGAGCAAAGAGGGUGGGCUGAUGAUGUCCUGUGGGUCUUCAAGUGAAGCCAUGGCCGUAGCAGCGCUACCUGGCGAAGUCUGAGCUGUCUGUGUCUCCUCUAGGGAGUGUAUCCAACCCUUCCACACCACCUUUGCCUUGAACACACUUGAUAUGGAUGGCAGUAGCCCAGUGGGUGAGAAAGACAAGUCCUUGUAGUUGUCUUGGUCAUACAGUGUACCUGAGAGUUCAUAGCUCGGUUGAUGAGUGACCUGAAUCAAGGUCCCUUCCAACCCAACCAUUCCAUGGUUCUAUGACCUUUAAGGUUCCUUCCAAACCAGCCAUUCCAUGGUUCUGUGAUUCUAUGACCUCACGAGAAUAUGGAACCUAGUAAGAUCAGAGGUUUAAAUUUGGAGGGGAAUCCAGAGAAAGUUUCUUUUCAGCUGCUUAUCACUGAUUUCAGAGCUCCAUAUAUUGCUGAACUUAUUUUUCAUUUUUUCUCCUUGCUGGUGGCUUGUAGGAGCUUUUGCUAGAAGUGCAGCUCAUUUACCUCAGACCACAGCUUCAGACUGUUGUAUGAUUUCAUGCUUCUCCCCUAGGAAUGUGAAAAUAAACAGAGAGGAUGGAUUUAUAAGGGGCACGUGGAAAACAAAGAACCAACCUGAGGAGAUGGUCUGCAUUUCCCCAAAACAGGGAUUUGUGCUUAAGGGCAAACUGGUUUCUCCUGGGAUUGCCACCUCCCCACGGGUGGAGGGUGUUAGCCCAAGUCAGCAGUAUGGCCAGCCCACCAUUAGUUUAAUUCCCUACAAGAUGACAAGAAAGUCCUCGUUAGACAUGAUCUUAAUCUUGACACUGAUGUUAAUUAGCCCUGAUUCAUUGUUAGAAGAGUAUGGAGCCAGGCAGGAAAUGAGCAAAAAGCAUUACUGGGGGGAAAAAUCUCUGAUUUCACACUUCAGGGUGUAGGGAGGGGAAGCUUUGAAGUUGCUGUGUUCUUGCUGCAGUAUAAUAUAUUAACAUUUUGGUUUUGGCUCAUGAAGUACUCUUUUACCUCACCCUCAGAAGCAUCGGAUGUAAUUAAGCUCAGAAGCAAUGGUUCUUUCCAGCUCUUUCCUGUCAGCUGGGUGAAAUAGCACAGAAAUGGUGGAUUUUUUUAAUAUAAAGUUUUUCCUCUUAGUGGAGCAAAAGCAGCGACAGAAAUCCACUAAGCCAGGGCUGCAUCACCCCUGAGAAGCAGAGCAUCGCUAGUUCUUGUUCAGUGCUGCUUCACAGAGACCUGAGGUGCUUUCAGUUUCUCAUUUAAUGGGCAGCAUCAGGACCUGUGUGUCUGCUCGGGAUGCAGCACUGCUGGGGAGAUGAGAUGUCCCACCGGCAGCAACGCAGAGCUGCAGCUCUGUUCAGAAAGCAGCGAUCAAUGAUUGGUAAUGGCCGUGAGCCAUUGCAAAGGAGGUUUGCAGAUAUCUCUAUGCUGGAGCAGUUGUGUGAUUUACAAAGUUGCUUUCAACCUCAAAUAGAGAUUUUUUUUUUUUUCAUAUUUGCAGGCUUUUUCUUUUUUUCUAGGUUUUGCAAGCAUUUAUUUAACACAAAAGCAAGGCCUUUCCCUGCAUGAAGGCACCUGCCAUGGGGCAGCUGGAGCAGUGACCUCCCAGUACUGAUGGCAGUGCCACCGUCUUCUAGAAACAGGGGAAGGGCAAUGGAGCCCUGACCCUCCCCUGGCUCAGAGAGGGCAGCGUGGUAGGGAUAUGAAUUUCUAAUCUGUGUUCAAACUGCUUGCACAGUGCCAUUGCCUGGAGAUAGAAAGCACGUGGCCUCGUUAGAGAGGGUGAUAAAAGCUACUUUAUCUCAAGUGUCUGGACUGCUGCAUUUUUCCCCUUUCUCCUUUUAAUCUGAUAUUCUGUGUUCACAACCCAGAUGGGGCAGAUGCCUCCCAUUUCAGAUUGAUAUGGUUUUUCAGUGGAAACCUGCCUGUUUCAUAGGAUGCUCCCCAGCUAAAUUGGGAUAGAACGUGGGGCUUCAGCUUGUCACAGACUUGUUUAAGUGUUUAUGCAUCAGCAAGGCACGAGGCCAUUUGUUAUUUCCAUGGCAUUUUGGUGGUCCUUUGUAACUAGGGAUGACUGAGUGGUAGAGGAGCAACAUGACAGUAGGAAGAUGCAAGCCCCUUGCAGGCGAGCAACCUGACGGGUUGUGGGAGGUACAGAACAACUGCUAGAAGUGCUUGCAUCCACCACGCAACCCCUCCCUCCUGCCCCAUGUCAUUCUAUGCAGGUUACUCCUCCUUAGGAGUCAUUAGGGCUUUUGGCACUCAUGUUGCAGUCUUUCACCUGUGAACAAAUAUUUUGCAUGCUGUGUGGGAAGGCAGGUUUGUUGAAAGAUGUGAAUAGUGUGAUAUCCUAUUACAUACAGCCAGAAGCGAGGCAUUUGUGGAUAUUCAAGCAAGACCUCUGUUGAACAUGCUUUAAUAUUUCCCAAGAGUCUUUUUGAGAUUGCACCACUCUCAGUCUGUGCUUUCAUGGCCUCUCAUCAUUCUUGCUGUCCACACUGGGACUUUCUUUACAAUUCCCUUGAGAUGCAGUGUCUGGUAUCAGGACUUCCAUAGUGCUUCCCUCUGUGUAUCUGGUGAGCAGUAUCCUUCUCUGUGCAUGGCAGAGUGAUGCGUGUUCAUGUAGCAGCAACUCAGUAGUGUCCAACUCUGGUUCUGUUGGUAAUGCUUUGGAAUCCUGAGAUCCUUUUCCUAACAAUAAAUAAAUACAUAUUAUAAUGAUAAAGGUCCUUGCAGGUUGCUAGUUAUUUCCCCUGUGUCUUGUCAUUGAUUAUUCCUGCCUUAGUACUGUUCACCCGUCAUUCCUGAAUUGUCUUUUUUCUUUUUUCUCUUUAUUUUUUUUUUCAGACCAUUUCUACUCCUUACCAAGACCAUUUUGAAUCCUAAUCCUGGCUUCCGAAGUACUUGCAGCCCGUCCCAGCCUGGUAUCAGCCGCACUUUUAGUAAGCAUACCAUGUUCCGUCAUUGCAACCCAUUCUGAUAACAAUGAAUCGUGCUGGACAGUCCCCAGGACACCCAUGUCCAGCACUGUGCGUGCCCCAUAAGAGGUACAAAAAACAACGAGGCUCCAUGGGAUGAUGAGAUUUGUGUCCCAAUGUGAGAGAUGUUAUCAGCCCCUUUGAAGUUUUGUCAUGAGAAAUAUGUUGAUUUCCCAUGCGAUGCUUGAACAGUGUGGGUUUUGUGCAGGGCUGGGAGGCUGAAAGAGCAGAAGAUCUGAGCUGUCACAAAAUCAGCACGUUGGCUUUCUCCUGAGCGUUUGUUGCAUUUAUUUUCUCCUGCCUUCUUCAUGGAAAACCCACCUUCUGUUCACUCCCCUUUUUGUGCAGCAGUUGGUGGUUAAAGAGCCACAGUGUUGGUGGUGGCGAAUGUGUUCAAGAGACGUUUCUGUGUUGUUCUGAGGGACGUGGCUUAGUGGGAAACAUUGGAUGGUUGGGUGAUCUUAGAGGUCUUUUCCAACCUUGGUGAUUCUGUGAUUCUAUGAAGGGCGAUAGUCCAGGAUUCAUGGAUUUCCAUGGAGACUCAUGAAUGGAGCUUUAUAUACCAACAUUGCACUAUAACAGAAAGGGGCAGAGCCAGAUGGUGCCACAGAGACCAAAAAGAGAACGCACAGCCACUGUGUAUGUCCCUGUAGCAGUUAGCAUUCAACAAAUCAGAAAUUAAAACAGAAACAGUGGAGGGAGCCCAGAGGUGAUCAGCAGCAAUGAGCUCAGACAAGAGGCAGUGUCUUGUUUCCUUGCAAGGGAAGAGCAUAAAGCUGAGUUUUGCUGAUAGCUGCACCUCAGUGUAUGUGUUUGUCAGAGCAGCUCUUGGUUUCAUACUUCAUCUCCUCUUUGACAUCUGCUGUUUCUGGGAAUUUAAGUUGGAACAGCUCGUGUCUUUCAUCUCUGACUUCACAGAUGUGAUGUGAAUGAGGAUUUCCUGCCCCUCUGUCAUUGGCUCAGAAAUACCACUUGCAUGCUGCAAAGAGGGAAACUGAGGCACAGAAGGGCAGCACUUGCAUUAAGCUCAUAGAGUGAGCUUGGAUGAGAAAUGCUGAUUUCUCCUCCCCUCCUCUGUGAUCUCUGUCUUACCCAAAGUUAUGAGAACUUGAGAAGAAAUGGAGCUCUGUGAACACAGACUUGCAGUGUGGUGUUUUCAAGGACACUAACUACAUAAAACUGAUUUACUAUGGGAGAAGAAGCCUUAAAUAUCCCCGUAGAGAGGACAUAAUGUGAAUGAUUUUGUGUUUAUUCAUUGCAUUUCACUGAGUGGAUGAAAUCUCUCCUGACUGUAAUUGAAUUAUGUGUGGAUGUGCUAUCUAGCAUGGUGGUGUUAAGAGCAGGUGCACAAAGGGGUUUCUUUCUGGGGAGGGGAAAAACUGCUUACUGUAGCAGUCAGUGAUUCCUACCACUGCAGUAACCCUAAUCAGAUUAAUUAUGGUUCAUUUAUCUGUCUGGCUUUUAUUUAUAAAAGCAACAUGUCUAAAGAGUUCUGUUCAAAACCUUGAAGAGUUUUGGUAAUAUUUUAGGUUUCUUUCACAUGCUGCAAUGUAUCAGUGUGUGGCUGGCCGGGCUUUGAGGGAGAUGACGUUGCUUCCAGCACUUAGACCCAGCCACUGGUUCUCCAUCUCCUCUUACAUCCAUCUCUUGUCACCAUCCCCAUCCUGCCCAUCCAGAGGUGGCCCCACUACCCCCAUGCGAUGUCCUCACCCAAAAUUCCUCUCUCUUUCUGCUCCUUUUUUUAACACUGAUACCAAAUCUCCCCCUUUGGCAGCAGCCUGGUUCUGCCUUUCAUCUCCUGGUAGGACCCAGACCGCUGUCUGUGUUGCAUCCUUGCCCCAUCUCACACACAGCUUUUUCUUUCUGUAAUUUUCCACUGGUGUGUCUCACCCCAAAUCAUAGCUGUUCUCACUUGCAUAAGCCACUUGCUUUUCCUGUCUCUCUCUCCUUUUUUUUUUUUUUUUUUAAUGCUUCUUUCUUUUGCUAUUUUCCAUUUCUGAAGAGCUGUUUAGAUUUUCACAAAACCAAACUGUAGGGCAUUGCAUAUGUGCUUGCCCACAUGUAUCUGCUUAGAGCAAAAGUUGCAGAACAGUAUCAAACAAAUGAGGCACUUUUCCAUCAGAUCCAUCCCUCUUGUUUUCCAUCUUUAUCUAUUCACCGCUCAAAAGCAAACUUUUCCAUCAAAAUAUCAGGAUGACUUUGGGUUUCUAUAAGCCUGAACACGAGACCAUUUUCCCCACCCUGCUAGGAUGCUCUGCCCCUCUGUCGGUUAAAUGGGAAGGUUUCAACACCCAUUUUCCCUUUCAUUUUAAUUCAGCUCUUCUUUUCUCACUUGGCUUCACAGCCAACCUGUUGUUUUUGAGGUGUAUCCUCGGCGUUUCGUCCAGCUGGGAUCCAACAGUGUCUCCAGUGAUGAAUUUUCCAUUUCUCAUGGAAAGGCAAAGAGCACGAGGAGGCGCACAGCAGACAGGGAUUUGGCUUUGGCAGAGAUCUGAUGAUCCAUGGUGGGUUUUGGUAGACAGCUGAGUAAGGAUGCCCUCGCCUCCCUGUGCCAGGAGCCAGCUGCAGCCUGCACCAUCCACGCCAGGGGUGCACACGUGUUGUAUUUUCAGUUCUUCCUGGCGCAUGCAGUGAAGUGCCUCUGCACAGCAACGUGUGUCACCUUUGUGUCAGCCUUCCCCAAAACAUGGAGGCGAUGUUUUUAACCAGGUAAUAACACUCUAUUUUAAGCUGCUUCUAAAAAUAAAGUCCCACACAAGCUGGCAUUCUGACAGCAGAGUUUUAUAGUUUAAUUGUGGCUGUUUUCUUAGGGUGAUUCAUAGAAAGAAGAUGAGCUUUACUAGUUUUACCCCAGGGUGAGGCGACGUUGGUGAGUUGCUGAUUGUAGUUGAGAAGAUCGCAUUAGCUCUACGGUAGCUGGCUUUUCCCUUAGGGCUGAAGUGUCAUGUUGAACACUGGCUAGGCUUUCUUUCUUGUAGGUGUCUGGUAGCUAACACAAUGCAUUCCGUACACGGAGAGCAUCCUACAGUGCUUUUGAGCAUUGAUGCUUUUGUCACGUUCAGUGACAAGUAAUGGCCAAGGGGGGUAAUGAGGAAAGAGAUGGUUUCUCUGGGAAACAAGGUGGAGAUUUAAAACUUACUGCAUGAGCUCAGAGCUACAGGGGAGAAGUGCAAGAGCCAGCGGUAUGAGGUGAGGUGGAGGGAAGCAUUACAGAGAUAUCUAGAGAGCAGCUGAUGACUCUGCCCUCCCACGCUGUAAUCAGAUAUCUCAGCAUCUGGGGUGGGGGCAGCUUCUCUGCUGGAGCACAUGGGUCAGGCUCGUUCUCCUUUUAAUGUUAAGAAGAAUGAGUCUUUGUUGAGCUACGUCAUGGCCUCUCCUUGCCCAGCCAGCCACCCCAACACCUCACAGAGAAACCUCUUGCCUCUUGCCCAAUGUAAAGACCUGUCAUCGCCUGGAGUUAGUGCUCCUCAGAGAUGAUUGAGGAGUGAAUGAGAGGCAAGGAGAAAGGGCCAAAGGUAUUCAAGGAGCAGAAAUGUCUCAAGUUCUUUUAACAGACUGCUGAGAUGCCCAGAGAUGUGGUAGAUACCCCAUCCUUGGAGACAUCUAAGGUCAAGCUGGACCAGGCUCUGAGAACCCAGAUGGAGCUGUAGGUUUCCGUGUCCAUUGCUGGGAGUGGGAUCAGAUGGCCUUUAAAGGUCCCUUCCAACUCAAACAAUUCCAUGAUUCUAUAAGACAAAUGCUGAUAACCACAGGUCUCUUACAUCUGUAAGGGUGGUGGGAUCUCAAAGUGGUUGUUGUGAAGUCAAGUGCCUUUGAAACACCAGAUUUCUCAAGAAUGGUUAUCUCCAGUCUACCACCUUCAAGACAGCAGUACAAAUGCCAGCCAUGCAUAACAGCCACCUCCUCGCCUUCUCCUAUGAAUACACCACUCACAUCUUGGUGGCACCUCCAGGCUUCUUGUCACCACGCCGAGCUCCAUGCAGCAUUAACCUGCAGCACAUCGCACCAAAGCAGUUGGCAAUCCUGCUGCCCCUCUGGAAGCAGCAGUAAGGCUUCGGCACAGUAUUCAAAGGAAAGACUGUUGCAUGGGAAGUGGUAGGAAAGUAUCACUGCUUGCUCACAGUGUGCUUCUUUAGAAUGGAAAAAGAAGCUUAUCGUGAUAAAGGAGGCAAAACAGGACGUUGGGGUGCAGCUCUGCUGUCAGCUUGUCACACAAUGCUUCUCCAGGAUCCUGUGUUUGCUGCUGUAGUAGGGGAACGAUAAUUCCUUAUUUCUGUGAAGUUGUCAAGGAUUUGCCUGGUGUUGCCUUUGGGAUCCUGGGAUCAGAAAGACUUCUCAAUUCAAUCGUCAAGUUCUGAACUGGCAGUUGGGAUGGGAGCAGAGGGUUGAAUUGGGCCUAAUUCUGAUCCUAUUUACUGUGCAUUUUGGGAGUGGCUGCCUCAAAGACAGCAGUCACCCUGGAGCAAAAAAAACCCAACAGUUAAAGCAAAUUAGAAUUGUUAUCAAAGGAAGAGCGUGCACAGUGGGACAUGAGCUGAAGCUGAGCAGUGUUUUUACUUACAAGGACAAGGCUUUUUAACUGGGUGUUUCCUUCAUUUGUCAUCAUUAAGAAAACGACAGUUGGAGUGAAAAUUAAAUACUCGGGGGAAAAGAAAACAAAACAACAUCACAAACCAGCAGCCCUUCAGCCGAUGAGUAGAUCUGCCCUGGUUAGUGCUACUACAGUGCAGCCCUUUCAGCCCUUUUGUCCCAAGGAGGGAAGGAAAUCAUCAGUGGAACAUCAAAGCUGAUGAGCAAACGAAAGGAUAAAAUCACUGAGAAGAAGAGGAGAGCCGUGAUCUCACCUGUCUGUAAUGAAAUUAAAGGCUUGUCCCCCCAGUGUUGCUCUGCGGGGUGUAAGCAGCGCUGGGAGUGAGGAUGCUCCAGUGCUGCUGCCAAAGAGUUAAUCACAACAUAAUCGUCUCCUUCUCUUUCCGAGAGGAGUUUCUCCGUGGCAGCCCGCAGGGCCGUUGGGUGAGAUGCGUGAUUGUGUGUUCUGGCAACCGCUUUGCAAUGUGAAAUAAACACCCUUCCCCAUAAUAGCCUUCAUUGAGCAUUGUGCCUGGGAACGCAUCGUGACACACGGCGGCACAGGGCCGGGGAGCUUCCUCCUUCCGCAGCCCAGCAAAAUAUUUAUACAGUGUCUUCGGGUAAACCAGUGCCUCCGUGCCGUGGGCUGAGCUGCUCACAAUGCCUGCCCCUACCCCGAGCCCGUCCUGAAAUAGCGAGCGCAUCCCGGCUCUGUUUAAUCUGUCAGCCAGAUGGAACCAGCCUCGCUUCCCUGUUAAGUUUACUUUUUAAAUUGCUAUAAUAGCCCUGCAGAGUUCUUGUUGCUUUAAGUAACUGGAACAGAACUUUAAAAACAUGGGCACAUUGAGCACCCGUCCUUGGGAUGCGCGCUGUGGAGCCGAGAGGGGAACUGCAGAGCUGCAGAACGUUCAGCGUGGGGUCGUGGGUGCUCUGUGGUUAUUAGGCCUUGCAGUUGCUAAGGGGAAAAAAAAAAAAAAGAGGCCUUUUCUUGAUCGUAGUACUUAAGAAUAAUGUUUUUCAAGUCUUGGUGCUGUAGAAAAAAUGUAUUUUGCUGUUGGAGGAAUGUCAGCUGCUUUGCAAAGAAUAGAAAUGCCUUUUUUUUCUUCCCCAUUGACCUUCAACGCCAUAAGGUCUCAAUGGCCAGGGAAAAUUAUGAUGGUUUCUGGCUCCUGACCAUUGCUGCUCACCAAAAGCUGUUCCACAGUGUCACAGUCAGCCAUGCAGACCACAGAACCAGUUGCAGCUAGAAAGCUUGUGCUCAAUGUAUAGAGGGCUGAUUGAAAAGAAGCGUGUUUCCAAGAAUUCUCUGUGUUUUGGUUUGUGUAAGGUCUAAAAUUUGAAGUAUGUUUCUCUUGCCCCACAUAGAUCUCAAAUAGUAAUUGUGGGUGGGGAAUUGCAACAUAUAUGGCUGGUUUUAGGGAGGGCAUGUGGAGAUCUGUUCUUGACCUUGUGACAGACAGGGUAUUUCUCAUUGAAGAGCAAAACCAACAAAUAAAACCUUAUUCUGCUGUUUAAUUUUAUUGAUGCAGUCUUUGGGCCCUGAAGCCAGACUGAGUUAGACUAGAAAACAGGAACAGAAUCUUAGCAGAGUAGUUGGUCAGUGGAGCAUCUUCACUGAGGACUGCUUUGUCUACCAUCAUUUGCAGACUUUAAAUCAAAGCUGGUUUGGCUUUUUGCAAGGAUACUAAGGGUCAAAGUAAUGAUCUUGAUGCAGAUAUGUUGGAGUUCUCUGGCCUGUGCUGAGCAGUCAGUCAGAUUCCUUCCUUUAUCAUGCUGUUUUCCGAUCUUUAUAUUUGAGGGUCUCUGAAGACCACACGAGAUCAUGGCAUCACCUUUUGAAAACCGAACUUGCAAUCUUCCUGGAAACACUCAUUCCAAAGAAAUCAAAGACCUUAAAUGUGAUGCAAUCAUUUUCCUGAAACUAUCUCUCUGUAGUAGCAUUUAUGUUUUCUGCUGUUUUGUCUAGAACUAAGAAUAGGAAUUCCCAAAACAAACUCUGCACUUACUGCACACCAGUUCAUCACUGUUGGGAUAGCCCACGUAGCCUCCGCUGGUCGCAGUGUUUGGUUUGUGAGCUGUUCAGAGCCUAACUGUGAAGACAAACAAGUUCUUGUGGAAUUAUCACGCAGUUAGUGUGUUUUUAAUUUAACACUUUUGCAUCCAAGCUUGAGCUCAUAGAACUCCCUCCUUCUUGGAUAAUGUUUUGUUUUCUUUUUUUCCCGAAGCCCUCUUCUUAAACCUUCAGGUUUGGUUCUAAGAACACCACUUCACUUUUGCUGUAGGAAGGAACAAUAUCUUCCAAUGUGACUUUUAGGAAAGGGAAGAAAGAAAGUAUGCUUCUCUCUUGUCAACAGCGCAGUCAUACCGCUCAUCUACCCAAGCAUCUUCUCCAUAACAAGAGCAGGGCCAUAUUUUUAUGUAUCUCCUCCCACACGGUCCUGUUGUUUGUGAAUGAAGGUAGAAAACUGAAAAAGGCAAAUCUUGCAAGGCACAAAGCCAAAGUCAGUGUUUCAGGUUCCCCAGAAGGGCUCCUACCCAGAUGGCCAAUGAGUUGCUUGGGGCAGCUCUCCAAUGAAGAAAGGCUGAGGAAUGGGCUGUGUCUGUAGGUGUGCACUGAGGUUCUUGAUGGAAGCUGCAGCCGGAGAGCAGAGGAGUGAGGCUCCUGGGUGGCCCAUGGCCAACAGCAAGGUGCUGGAGGAAACCUAAGCUCUUGUCCUCUCAUGACUCACUCUUGCAAACGUUGCAGCGCUGUUGACCUGCACUGGGGCUGCAGUGGCUGAUGGCUUGACCGGAUGUUUCUGACGAUGUCACCUGCUCUAUUUAAAGCUGUGAACUCUUCCUCCAGCCCUGACCUCACUGUUGGCUACGUUAACAAGAGAUCUCCCUAAUGAGAUGUGACUGGAGCCAUCUGUUUGGGGGCAAGCAGAAACCUCACCCGUCACCUUUUUCUGAACCUGUCCCCCACCGUUUUAUGCCUGUACUGCUAUAAUUGACCUGCUCUGUUGCCUGCUGCCUAAAGCUUGCAGAGAUAGUAGCCGUAAAACAGACCCGCAUCAGCAGACGAAGAUCAAGGCCUGUAGCUAUUCUUUCCUGCCUACUAAUGCUGGGCACAAAGCAGGAAUGCUGGCCCUUCAAUAAUGUGUUGUUUCUUCUUUUUCUUCUUCUUUUAAAACCAAAACGAAACAAAGAACCCUUUCCUAGAAGGGCUGGAGGCAAUUCCAGACUUGCCUGAUCUACAAACAUUGCAUGGCACAUUGAGGCGGAGGCAGAGGCAGAAGUCUCAUUACAGUGCUUGGUGCUUCAGAAUGGGACAGUUCUAAUACAUGUUUCCAUGGGCCCAGUAAAAACAACUUGCCAUACAUAAUUUAAACCACCUUUAGGUAAAGAUGGAGGUAACCAUGGCUAUCUUUCAGCAGCCCUCUAUCCAAAAAGCUGCUGCUUAGAGGCUCAGUGGUAUGCUACGUAGGUGAAAUUUUGCAAGACGUUCUUGCUGCUCUUCUUCCACCAGGAGAACCCAUUGCAACCGUGGUGUGAGGCUGACUGGGUCUGACCAAAGUGUCUGACAAACACCAGGGUAUCAGCACUGCCACAGACUUCUAUUGCUAUUUCUCAUGAUGAUGUGGCAUAGCCAGGAGGAAAGAAGGAUGUUGGCUGGAUAUCCAUUUUGCCAACCAUCAUGAACCUUGCUUUUAUUUUUACUUUUGUUUGUUUUAAGCAGACACUUGAUCUAAAGUUUAGACAUGGAGCCUGCUGUGAUCUUUGACAGAGAAUUUCUUGCUGACACUAAAAUAAUGAGGGCUUUUUGUGACCUCUGUGCAGCUUAGCCUAUAGGAGAUUUCAUCUUGGGUACAGUUUUUGAGGAAUUCUUUCUCCUGAGGCUUUACAAGGCCGAAGGUUUUUGGAUUAGUAGCUGAGGUGGUUCUUGGAUCUAGACUCUCUAUGUGUUUAAGAUCUGUUGCUUUAAUUUCUUAGAGAAAGGUGACCUGCUUUAUAAAAAAAACCACAACACAAACCAACCUAACAAAAAACAAACAACAUCAGGGUGGAAGUGUUAAUGAGAAUCCUUAUCCUUUCUUUUCUUGCCAAAGACAAUUCUUUUACAAAUAUCAUCAAACAAACAUUUUGAAGCCUAUGAGGUUUCUCUUGAGCCCUGUACUAAGCAGAAGGAAUAUUAUCUCAGAUUUCCUGUCUGUGCUAUGGAUAUAUCAACCUUCUUCGGUAGGGAUGUGAGACCAAGCUCUGAAAAAUAUUUAUAUGCAUUGAAAUCAGUAAUAUUUGACCUCCAUAGCAUUUCCUUAAUGCCAUUCCAACUCAGAGCUCAGCUGAAAAGUGCUAAGAGAUGUUUUAAAGGUGUCUGUGGCCGCCAGUGUGAGCUCAUUUCUAAUUAAACAGAAGCCACACUUUAUUUCAUUAGAAGCACGAUAAUAAAUGUACACACAAUUGGCUGAUUCUCAAUUAAUUAGCUAUUAGAAGCAAAUUCCGUAAGGUCUAUUAGGAUUAGAAAGCGGAACUUGGUGUCACUGAAGCGUUCUCAUUCUCCUGAUCUGCAUUAAGAUGUCAUUUUGCUUAUGGCUCUGAUGUGCUAUGGGUAAUUUCUGCAGGCUCUGGAUGUGAGGACAGGAUGUCCAUGUUCUGUAGGAAUGGUGGUGAAAGGUGUGCAGAAGUUCCAUUUCCCUUUGGCCUGAACUCCUCCAGGUAUGGAGUAUCUACAACUUCUUUGGAACAGGUUGCUUGUAGAAGUGUAGAUGCUCCAUCCUUGGAGGCUUUCAAAGCCAGGUUGGGCAGGGCCCUGGGCAGCCUGAUCUGCUGGGGGCAACCAGCCCACAGCAUGGAGUUACACCUGGAUGAUCUCGAAGGUCCUUCCCAACCUAAGCCAUUCUAUAAUGCUGUGAUAUGGAGUAAGCUAUGAAACUUCCCAUCUGCUUUUCACAAAAAUGGGGACUCUCAGCAUUCCCACUCAACCCACCAGUUCCAUCUGCAACUACUUUCAUCAGACAGGUUUCAGUGGCCACUUAAAUACUAAUAAAAUUCACCAAAAAAUAACUUGCUUCCCAUGGAUGCCGAGGUAUACUCAGAUAGCCAGGAUUUUUUGUGGGUUUUUUCCCUAAAACUUCAAUCAAUCCUCUUCAAAAUUUGACACUUUUUUUUUUUUUCAUUACAAAUUGACUUUUAAAGCCAAGAAUGCCCCCUGUAUCGAAGACAUGGAACAGCUUCCCGUGCCCAGUCCACCCCAGCCACAGCAGCCCAUUGGAAGCCUAUUGGAAAUAGUGGUGCAGAGUAAAUGUUUGGUCCAGCUGUAUCCUUUGUGGGAGUUUUUUAGGAAUUUUUGAUUGAUGUUUUAUUCAAAGGUGAUCUAAAAGAAUGAAGGCUCUGUGGUGUAGAGGAGAUGUGGGAAGCCCUGCUCUGUUUGUUUUCCUGCAGGGUGGGCUGGUGCUGCGGGUUCCUGAGGAACAGGUUGAGGAGGAAAAAACAGGAAUAGGUGGAUGCAGUGCCAAUGGGGUCCCUACCUAAAUAUUUGUGUUCAUCCGCAAGAAGCAUCUGUUAAUAGGAGGUCAGUCACCUGGAAACUUACCCAAAGCCAUUCUGCUUCUCAUUAAGUACUGGCUCGUUUCACUUGCACAAGGUAUAUUUUUGUAUGUGCAUACAGGGUCAUUUUGUGAUGACAAGGAAGGAAGCAAACAGUGUCCAGACUUCAUUUUUUUCUUCCUAUAAAGCUACCAGCAUCCCCUCCAAACUCAGUCACCUUUUUUUUCAUUCUUUCCCAUUAAACAAAUUUAUAUCUUGAUUUAGAAUUAUUCCUCUUUUCUGACACUUGGCUUGCCCUUUCCCAUCAGUAUGAGAGCUCAGAAGGUGACGUUCCCCCAAGCCUCCCUGCCUGGGUGUGAGGAGCAUCAGGGUCUGCCAGUGGUGAUGCAUCCUCACAGUGUGCAGUGUGGGGUCACUGAUGUACAUCAACGUGUGAACACAGAGCUCUUUCCUGAUUUUUCUGGUCUGGGGGCUGUGGACGGAAGCAGUGAUUCUCUGCAUCCUGCUUUUGCAUCAUCCUUACUCUGAGAAUUAAUAAUGCAUGUGGAUAUCUGUAUUAUCUUUGUAUCCUUAUUGCAUCGCUUAGGAAGCUGGUUAACUCAAUGCAUCGCUUCCAGGGCUGGAACCCUCCGAGCGGAGAGAAGGCAGUUGGGCAAGAGCAGCAGGGGAAGACAAACCUCCUGUCAAGAGAGUGUGGGAAUUUCAGGCUGUGGUUGCUCAAAGGGGUCUGUGAGAUCUGUAACGAUGGGUCCUUAGAUUUCAGUCGGAUUUCAAUUACAGACGGUCAUCAGCCAUGUAACCUGGGGUGAUGCUGUUGGGUAGGGCAGCCAGGAUGGGCUCUUGCUUGGGUUUCCCUGUGGGUCUCCCAGCAAAGUCCUGACUCUUUCCAGUCCUGCUGAAGCAAUUGAGACCUGGUGAGGACCUGAAGGCAGAAAAAGGAGCUUCCUUUCUGGGGGAGGAGGAGGAAGCUGCUUUCCUCCAGAUGUGAGCCUCUGGGGAAGCUGCAGACCAAGGAACUCAUCCUGGGUAGCAUGGAGGUAGUGCUCCCUCUGGGUGGUGUGAGAGAUGGAUCUGUGUCAAUGGAGCUCCUCCUGGACUUAGAAAAGCGACAGCAGGACCCUGCCGUGUAAAAAAUGAAAUUCUUUGGCUCAGCCCAGUGCGUGGUGUGCACAGGGCUGUAACCCAAUCCCGUCGCUGGAGCCAAGCAUCCAGGGCAGGUGGCCGGCUGCUGGCUGUGUCCCCUCGCUGGGACAUGGUGCAGGGCUCUGUGCUGCAGGAUGACAGGGCUGAGCACACAGCUGUGGCAGGAAAGGGACCAGCUCCCACCUCUCGAAGCCAUUGCUGGAGGACAUCUCACUCCCCUGGGGACGGAGGUGCAGGUCAGUUUUAUUACCCCAGGACUACUCCAAGGCUUUGAGUAUCCAAGGGAUGAGAUAUGCUCUAAUUUGCUCUAUUUUACUGUAUUUUUGGUAGGGCUGUUGAUGAUCGUUGUGGUCCUUUUCAACGCAGGCCAUUCUGUGAUUCUAUGAUAUUGCAUUGUAUUGAGCAGAAGUUCAUCAGGCUUUCUGCUUUCUUUGUGCCUGGGCAUUUUCAGGACUUCUCCAUAUCUCAUAUAUGCUCUUCCCAUUCCCCUCCUGCUUGCAGCUCCCUGGGCAAUGGCUUAGCAAAGGACUGGGCCAGCAACGAGCAGCUCAGCAUUGAUCCUCUAUCAGCAUGCUGCUCCUAAAGCCAAAGCAAUGGCAAACUCCAUGGCAGCAGUACUUUAUCAGUACUUUAUCAGCCUGAUCCCUCUCUUCUGUACACGGGGAGAAAAGAAUAAAUCAGCAAGCUGAGAGGGUGGAACUUUGCAAUCUUUCCAUGGUUUUUUUGGGGGGAGCUUUCUGCUGAGUGUGCAUUGGUUUUGCUGAACAAUGGGGUGAGCAGAGCCAUUGGUUGUCCCUGCGAGGAGCUCUGCAUAUUGUGGCCUGCAUGCUUUUGGCUUAUUUCAACAUUGUGCAUGUCAAAUGUGAUACUCCAGAUUUUCCUGGCUGCCUUUCAAACGCCUCUCACCUUUACAAGGGACUGGCAUUAAACCGUGCAAGAAAAAAUAUAUAUAUCUAAAAAAGUCAAUGUGUACGGGCUAGCCAAAGCCAAGCAGAAACAUCACAGCGUUGCAGCUGGCAUGACGCAUCAAUGGGUUGAUGGUUGGACUUGAUGAUCUUAGAAGACUUUUCCACCCAUAAUUAUGAUUGAUUCUGUGAUUCUGUAAUUCCAUGACAAUUCUAUGAUUCUAAGAUCUGAGGGCGCUGUGUGCAGCUCGGUUCUGCUGUCCCAUGGACACACAGUUGGAAGAAGAACACUCAGUUCUGCAGACCUCCAAAGGGCAGGAAAUUGAAACUCCUGUGUGUAACCAUGUAUAAGUGGUGGGAAAAAAAAAGAAAUAAAUAGGUCAGUGGCAAAAAGGGCACUAAAAAGGGUGUACGUAUAUGGCAGCACUGAAAGAACAGUGAACCCAAACCAGCGAAACCUCAGCAGUUGUUUUGUCAGCUUGCUCGAGCUGUGCAUUGUUACUCUCUUUGAGGUCUAUGCACAGAGAGAUGCAAAUGCAUUCUGGAGCGGAUGCUUUGCAUCUCCAAUUUGCAUAGUCAGCUCUGUGCAAAGACAGGGGGCCUUACCAUGGCCUUGGAGUAGAGCAGUUCUGCACAGGGAUAGGUAGCAAUGCAGCUCCAACUUGCAGGGAGAGGUGUGUUUGCAUACAGAGGUUUUUUGUAGCAUUUCUACCCCUUGCUUGUGUAUUCAAAGCAAACUGGGAGCAUUUUGCAGUGUCAACUUGAAAGAUGACUUUGUCGUCUUGGCGAGGUGAUACAGUGAUCUUGGAGGCUACUUGAAUUUGAUUUUGCUGAGGUUUUAUUGCGUUUUGCUUAAUUGCUUCUGUUUUAUUGUUAAUGAGACAAAGAGCAGUUUGUAGAAUAGCUUGAGGAGUAAAAUUAUCCAGGAGCAGAGAUGAAAUGUGAAUGUUAGAAGUUGCCUUCCAUUGUCUGUGCUGUCUUUAAACUCCUCAUUUGGUUUUGUUCAGUCCUGCAAACCUGGAGGCGACAUCACUGCCCCAUCUGUGUCCUGCAAGGACAUCCUUGGGGCAAACCCUGCACCUGGCUGCAGGGUGAGUUCCCCAUGGGGAGGAUGGGCCAUGGUCCAUGCUCUCUCUUGGUCAGACACCCCUGCAGUCCAGUUUAUUACUUUCUCCAGUCUGAAAAGAGCAGACUUGCAACCUUCUUGCAGAGCUUUCAGAGUACCCUUAAGAAGCAGAACCAUACAGGAGUGAUGUAGUCUGGUGUGGGGUCCAAACCUUGGGUGGCAAAAACCUGUGGAUGUAAAACACUGAGGAAUAUUCUGCAAUAGGGAUUAAUCUUAUAAUUACACGCAGCUACAGUUCAUUGCUGGUGGGAUAAACCCAGUCCUGCCAGGUGGGCAGCCAGGAGCCAGGACCUGGGACUCCCAGUGCAUCACUGUAGGGUGAAAUGAACACUGUUGGGAUGAGCUUGCUUUCAUUUUGGUCAUUGCUAUAGGGUCCAUUUUUUUGCACUGACUGCUAAAAUCACUGCUGCGUAAUGUGGAUGCAGACAAUGUGCUCUGCCUGCAGCACCGGGCUCUGGGGUGGGGGGGGUGCAUUUGCAUGGGACUUCACAAGAUCUGUGCAGUAAUGAGCAAAAUGAGUCUGGUCUCCUACGCAUGCAAAGCAACAGCUUUGUGACCUGGGCUCUAUCUGACUGCUGCAGCUCUGAGGCUACAAUUAUAUCCGUAAACAGAUGAAGCCAGGGUCAAUCUUUUGACCCCAAGGACUAAUGGCAUGGGGACAAGUUGCUCCAUGGGUGUCCAGGCUUUGCGUGCGGUCUUGCAGAAGGGCAACCUUUGCCUUGAAGCGCCAUUUCACUUCUCACCUGCUGAAAUUACCUGGGGCACACAGUGUACCUGGGUUUUGCUUUUACGUUUCCGUUACCCACCAGUUAGCUGGUUGGAUUUAGCACAAAUGGAGAAGUGAGUGGGCAGCAAGAUUGCUGAGCCAUGGCUCUGUGCAUCCAGGGCAGGAAGGAGAGGCAGUUCAUCGAUAAGUCAGGGGAGGGUCAAGGGAAACCAUUUUCAGCUGAUCUCUACAAAGCUCGCUGGCCAGGAGACCAGGGGCUGUGGGAUUGACUCAGACCUCAUUCCCCACUGAUUCACCCUGCAAUUAUGAGAUUGAGCAGAAAUCGUAAACUCCAUCUGAACUGUAGUUGUCCUUUUCUUUUCUUUUUUUUUUCUUUCUUUUUUUUUUUUUUCCCCCCCACUCCUGUGGUUUGAAACUAUGUAGAAACGUUUUGGAAGGUUUCUCAAUGCAUGAGUUUAACCCUAAGUCUCAGCAGGGGGAAGGUAUUAUCAGGGAAAGGCAAUUACUGCUUUAGCUGGAUGCAAGUCACAUUACCUUUGGAAAGAACCACCCUCUCGCCAAUAGCUGGCUUCCCAUUCAGGGUUUGGCAGGUCUGGAGCACUGAAUUCGGAUGAAUUUUGAAGGAAUCAUUACACAGCAGUAGUUUCGAAAUAUUAGCUCACUAAUGACUUCUUUGCACCGAUGAGUGCGUGAGAAGUGAAAGCAGCAGAGAUUGUUACAAUCCUCAGGAGGGACGUGAUGGUGAUGCACGUAAUCCCACUUAGCAGUCACCAGUGCUGAAUGGCUCUUAAGGGUCAUCUUAAAAAUUGGGAAAAAAACUCCAUUUUCUUGAGUUUUGUGUGCGAGAAAACAGGAUUAGGUACAUUACGAAUGCAAAAAAAAGCCCCUUCUGGGAUAUAUGAGUGGUGUGUUGGCAUUACCUUCCUGUCUGCAGGAACUCAACUUCAAAUCUCAGUUGUCCUUAAUGAUGGAAGUGGCGUUACUGCAGUCUCCUGCUCCCAAGCAUGUGUUUGUGGUGAGAUGGAGCAGCCGUGGGCUGCCCACUGCUCUGCCCAGAGGUCAGCAGUGUGUGGGGCAGAGCUGUGUGCUCUGGGGUAGCACAACCCUGUCUUGCCUUCUGCAUCUGUGGGACCAGGAGGAAGGGAGCUCUCAGACGGUGUUUUCCUUACCUGGGUUUGUGGGGCAGAAAGCCUCUCUCCAUGCUGCCCAUUUUCCAGUGGUGGUGCUCACUAGCUGCAUUAAUGAACUCUGUUUCAAUUUGGAUGCGGUAGCGGAAAAAAGAAAAACUGUUUUAAGCUAUGGAAGUCAUCAUUUGUGCAUGCCUUGGGAGCAAAGCGCACAGCUGUUUUCCUGCUGGUACAGGUGCCCAUGCCUGCCCAGGUUGGUAAGAAGGGGAACUGCUGAAGCCAUGUGGGUUAGGAGCAAAAGUGAACCAAUACAGCAUUCAAUCCUUGAGUUUUUAAUGAGCAGACAAAGUCUCCUGGAGGUCUCCCCGUCUGUUUCUAGUUACGAGGAUACUUUAUCUCUGCAGGUCUCUCCCUUCCCGUAGUAUCCGAGGGCCUCACGGACACUCAUGGAUGACUCACAUCACAUCUGCAAAAUAGGGAAGUAUCCCCAUUUUAGAAGCGGGGACUAAUGCGGGUUGUAGAUGUAUGACUUGCCCAGUUUCACACAGGAAACAUGUAACUGAAGUGGGAAUUGAGCCCAAGUCACAUGAGUUGAGCCCUGGAUUGCUGUCUGCCCUUGGCGAGCCCAAAGCAGCUCAGCAGAUGUUGUAUGUGUGGAAUUGGUUUGAGAAGCAGGCGCAUUCAUCCAGAGGUUGUAGCUGUAAAUGUGAAGCUGCUGCUGCAUGCGGCGGGGUCAGGAUAAGGUGGGAAACCCAGCAAUGAGCUGGAGGUGAGGUGAGAGGAGAGGGGGCUGAAGAUGGAGCCCAGCCCGUGGAGGAUGUGCACUUACAGAUACCCUCAUGCUGUCCCCGAGGAGCACAUUUGUUUUAUACAGAGCCUGUUUGCAUUAAUCCCUGCUGGACGUGCCUUUCUGCAGCAGUGCCUAUACGCAUCUGCUCUACUUCGCUUGCAUCUAGUGAGCAUGUCCCCUUUCUUCUGUUAGUGUUUCCUUUGUCUGCUAUGAUGCGUGUCACUGAGCACGUCACUGGGACUCACAUCUGGAUAAACUGUGGCUUGUGGAAGUGCUGGCGGGUGCAAUCCCUUCAUCAGUCCUGGGUAUUAGCAAGAAAUAUGUGUGACUUUCCUCUUGGUACAUGGAGCUCAGCAUUGGGUCUGUCCAACUGGUGGCUCUUCAGCCAUAAAGCGUGACUCUGAAGGUGGAAGCAGAGCCCUGGUCUUGCUCUCUUCUCUUCUGUUCCGUGCAGAUACUGAUGCUCUAUGAGUGGUUUGAGUUGUGCUGAGCCAUGGUUGGGUUUUAGGAUGCAAAGCCCCAGGGGAGGAGAAAUUUCAGCCUUCUCCCAGACAAACAAGGGUUCAUUGCACUAUGGUUUGUGGUAGCUGCAGGUCUUCAGCGGUGCUUAUAACUCUUCUCCAAACUUGUUUCCACUUUGGACUUGGGAUUUGGGAGGAGACAGGGUUGUGCUCAGGCAUUGCCAUGCCACCCAUCCACUGCUUCUUCCUGAGCUUCUGGGCAUUGGGAUGGCAAAACAGGAGAGCAAAACUGAGCUCUGAAAAAAUGACCUUUCUCUCAUUGCUGUGCUUGGGCACGCUCCUCAGCUGAGAGGAGGCUGCUUGCCUAAGUGUUCAGUUGUCCAGACUUAUUCUCAAUUAGAUAUUUACACAGCCCCUUACGGAGGCUAUUUUUGAGGAGGAGAGAAUGGAUGGGACUGGGCAGCUCUGAAUAACAUGGGCAGGUCUGUGGUACAGGGCUCGGAGGGAUAAGGAAGUCACAACCAGAGCUGGACACAGCACCAUCAGCAGUCAGUGUGGCAGCGACUGAAGGCAGGCUGGGGGUUGUGGCAAGAGUGAAGCCCAUUUAAAACUUUGGGCACAGUAAUCAAAAUUUGCCACUGUUCUCUGUUCUUCUGUGUUUCAGAGGAGCUGUGACCACACAGACAAGGAAGAGCUCUGCUUAGUUCUGCCCAUGCCUUUGCUGUUAUUGUGGGUCUGAGCCCUCCUGCUGCAGGGUGGGUUGCACAGUGCCACUGAGCAUAGGAUUUGGUGAUGGGCCAUUGCCUUGGAGUAACCGUCUGUUCUUCCAUGGGAUUGCAGUGGUCAUGUCUGUGGAGGAGUCAUCUUUUUCUUUGCAUGCAAUGUAUGCAAAGAUGAUUUAGUGGAGGGUUGUUAGACUUUGGGCAGUAUGGUUGGGUUGCAGUUGGACUUGAUGAUCUUUAAGGUCCUUUCAAACCUGAGUGAUUCUGUGAUUCUGUGCUCAGGGUUGUUUUUCAGAAUGCAUCUGCACUUGGGAUCUUGCUUCGCCUAAGCCUGACCCCUGUGCAGAUCAAUGCAUUCAUGUUAAAAGCUCAAUGUAAGGUAAGUAUGGAGGAACUCAAUGGUUGAAUGAAGUGGAGGUUGUCUAAAUGUGUGCUUGCCAAUGUGUGGUGUCCACAGAGGAGGAGAAUCCAUAGCAAUGUGUUCCAGCAGUGUGCACAUCACCAUCAGGGUGAACUUGCUGCAGGAGGUGAGUGCAGUCACCAAGGGCAUCUCCAGCUGUUGGGACUCUGUUUGUGUACUGUUCUGGUUACCAAGCAAUCUUCUCCAUCAGGGCACCUGAUGUAACCCUGUGUGUUCACUGCUGAGAUGGCAUUUUAAUAUCCAAGCAUUAUGAUUUCAACGUGCUCUUUCUUUUACAG
ensembl:lncRNA